rnacentral:lncRNA from 1 species
ACAACCUGCAAUUCCCCUCUCAAGUGGAACAUUUCCAGAUAAUACAGCAAGAUGUGGCAGAGACUUCAAGAAAUGACGGUCUCAUAAAGAUGACAUGAAAGGAGAUUUUGAGAGAGGAAAAAUAAAAGAACAACUGCUUUGAAGCAUCAGCCCUGAUGGUGACAAAACCAUGAUCCCAGUGGUUAUCCAACUGCUAACUCAGGGCAGGCACAGAGGCUGUGAACUGUUGGAAGUCUCAGGAAAGCUCUCAGGGUAGGGAGAGACAGCUAAAGCAGAGCCUGGGCCUUCUGCUGACUUUCUGCAUGGGGUAAGUUUCAACAUAUGCAAAAAAUUUAAGUCUUUGAUCCACUUUAAUUUUGUUGCCUUUCUGUUUUGCUGCACAUCUCUUUUAUUUUAGUUUGUUUUGGUGGUGUGUGGUGGGUUUUUUUGUUUGUUUUAAUACUGAAAUUGAUUUUUUCUCUUUUGGCAUGCAUAAUAUUUGGUUUUUUUCUAAACCAAGAAGUCCUAACCUUUCCCUUAGGCCUUGGAAGUGUUUCUCUAUGUUUAUUUCUAAAAGACUUACUAUUUUCUUUCAUCUUUUGCCAAGGUAGAAAGAACAGCUCUGAAUACAGUUUGCCUAGGAGGGCUGUAAACAGGCAAACACUGCAACAUUCCUCUGAAACACUUGCUGCUGACCACCAGGAGAUGCUGAGUACCUUAGGUGUGUGGGCGCUGCUGCUGGUG